rnacentral:rRNA from 1 species
AGAGUUUGAUCCUGGCUCAGGACGAACGCUGGCGGCGUGCUUAACACAUGCAAGUCGAACGAAGCUUGAUUACGGAUUCUUCGGAUGAAGUAUGAUAUGACUGAGUGGCGGACGGGUGAGUAACGCGUGAGUAACCUGCCCUUCAGAGGGGGAUAGCGUUUGGAAACGAACGGUAAUACCGCAUAAUGUAUUUUGACCGCAUGAUCGAAAUACCAAAGAUUUAUCGCUGAAGGAUGGACUCGCGUCUGAUUAGGUAGUUGGUGGGGUAACGGCCUACCAAGCCGACGAUCAGUAGCCGGACUGAGAGGUUGAUCGGCCACAUUGGGACUGAGACACGGCCCAGACUCCUACGGGAGGCAGCAGUGGGGAAUAUUGCACAAUGGGCGCAAGCCUGAUGCAGCAACGCCGCGUGAAGGAAGACGGUUUUCGGAUUGUAAACUUCUGUUCUUAGUGAAGAAUAAUGACGGUAGCUAAGGAGCAAGCCACGGCUAACUACGUGCCAGCAGCCGCGGUAAUACGUAGGUGGCAAGCGUUGUCCGGAAUUACUGGGUGUAAAGGGAGCGCAGGCGGGUGAUCAAGUCAGCUGUGAAAACUACGGGCUUAACCCGUAGACUGCAGUUGAAACUGUUCAUCUUGAGUGAAGUAGAGGUUGGCGGAAUUCCGAGUGUAGCGGUGAAAUGCGUAGAUAUUCGGAGGAACACCGGUGGCGAAGGCGGCCAACUGGGCUUUAACUGACGCUGAGGCUCGAAAGUGUGGGGAGCAAACAGGAUUAGAUACCCUGGUAGUCCACACUGUAAACGAUGAUUGCUAGGUGUGGGGGGGUCUGACCCCUUCCGUGCCGGAGCUAACGCAAUAAGCAAUCCACCUGGGGAGUACGACCGCAAGGUUGAAACUCAAAGGAAUUGACGGGGACCCGCACAAGCAGUGGAUUAUGUGGUUUAAUUCGAAGCAACGCGAAGAACCUUACCAGCACUUGACAUCCAACUAACGAAAUAGAGAUAUAUUAGGUGCCCUUCGGGGAAAGUUGAGACAGGUGGUGCAUGGUUGUCGUCAGCUCGUGUCGUGAGAUGUUGGGUUAAGUCCCGCAACGAGCGCAACCCUCGCCAUUAGUUGCUACGCAAGAGCACUCUAAUGGGACCGCUACCGACAAGGUGGAGGAAGGUGGGGACGACGUCAAAUCAUCAUGCCCCUUAUGUGCUGGGCUACACACGUAAUACAAUGGCCAUCAACAGAGAGAAGCAAUACCGCGAGGUGGAGCAAAACUUCAAAAAUGGUCUCAGUUCGGACUGCAGGCUGCAACCCGCCUGCACGAAGUUGGAAUUGCUAGUAAUCGUGGAUCAGCAUGCCACGGUGAAUACGUUCCCGGGUCUUGCACACACCGCCCGUC